rnacentral:rRNA from 1 species
GCGAAUGCUGACAUAAGUAACGAUAAAGCGGGUGAAAAGCCCGCUCGCCGGAAGACCAAGGGUUCCUGUCCAACGUUAAUCGGGGCAGGGUGAGUCGACCCCUAAGGCGAGGCCGAAAGGCGUAGUCGAUGGGAAACAGGUUAAUAUUCCUGUACUUGGUGUUACUGCGAAGGGGGGACGGAGAAGGCUAUGUUGGCCGGGCGACGGUUGUCCCGGUUUAAGCGUGUAGGCUGGUUUUCCAGGCAAAUCCGGAAAAUCAAGGCUGAGGCGUGAUGACGAGGCACUACGGUGCUGAAGCAACAAAUGCCCUGCUUCCAGGAAAAGCCUCUAAGCAUCAGGUAACAUCAAAUCGUACCCCAAACCGACACAGGUGGUCAGGUAGAGAAUACCAAGGCGCUUGAGAGAACUCGGGUGAAGGAACUAGGCAAAAUGGUGCCGUAACUUCGGGAGAAGGCACGCUGAUAUGUAGGUGAAGUCCCUCGCGG